rnacentral:rRNA from 1 species
CACGUAGGGCGCAAGCGUUGUCCGGAAUUAUUGGGCGUAAAGAGCUCGUAGGUGGUUUGUUACGUCUGCUGUGAAAACCUAGGGCUUAACCCUGGGCUUGCAGUGGAUACGGGCAGACUAGAGGUAGGUAGGGGAGAAUGGAAUUCCUGGUGUAGCGGUGAAAUGCGCAGAUAUCAGGAGGAACACCGGUGGCGAAGGCGGCCUUCUGGGCCACUUCUGACGCUGAGACGCGAAAGCGUGGGGAGCAAACAGG